UCUGUGAGCCCUUGUGGCCUGUAGGUUGGGGAGAAGUAUUAAUAGAAGAAACCACUCCAACCAGGCUAGAAAUUUUUCCCUAUAAAAUAAUAGUGAUCACACAGAUCAAUUUGGGAAUGAUACGCCAUGACCGUUUAUUCUAAGGAGACAAGUGGACCCAAAGUAAGUUCAAAGAAUUUAUUUUAUUAAGUAAAUAACCAGAAUUGAUAAAGAGUUUAUACAGAAUUUAACAAAUAUUUACUUCACACACUUUUGGGAUGCGGAAGAUAUGUAAUAAAUUCCAAAUAAGCCAUCAUGUGAUCUUUUGUUGUAUUAAUGGAUUAGCUGGUUUCCACAAUCUCCACCUACUUUGUUUACCAUUGGAGGAACCAGCCUUUCUCUACAUGUCCUGCUAAUGCCAGAUACCGUCUGGUCUUUAUGGAGCAUGACAAUAUUCAAACACAGAGUUUGCCAGACACCUGUGACACUUGGCAUUUCCCCAGGUUUGGCGAUCUUUGCCUCUCUUUCUUCUCCUUGCUCAAGCCAACUGACGUCUCUUUUUCUCUUCCAGGAUUCUUGUUGCAAGUGCUAGAGUUCUAUUUCCAUGAUAAGAUCUCAAGCAACCUUUAAAAGGCAGUAAGAAAGAGAGAGAUCACUCCAUUGAAUUUGGGCCUCCUGAGUCUCUGGCUGCUUGCUCCUGAUAACACUGGAGGAAUUGUUCUCCGACUUCUCUGCACAUUUAUAAAUAGUUGCCGCAACCAGUUCCUUCUGUGUGGGAGUUACUGAGGUGUUUUCAUGGCCAUCCCACAGAGAAGAGCAGAUGGUGAUGUGCACCUUAUCAAACUCUGGCUGCCUCUCCAGCUUGGCCUGCAGGGGAACGGAUGAAACUACAUCUGUCUGCGUCCUUCCCUGCUAUGCCUCGUCGCCUUUACUGGACCUCAGCCACAAUGUCGUCAAACCAUCCUCAAAGUCACUCUGACCCCCAAAUCUCUCUCCCUCCCGGUUACGUGACUUUAUUUAAUUACUGCACCAGAAAGGUAGAAGUACUGCUUUUGGAUUGCCUUAACAUCAUGGAUCAUUUACAUUUGCUCAUUUGGCAGAUGCUUUUUUUUUUUGUUUUAUCUAAAGCGACUUGAAAAUGAAGGUUAAUGCUCUUGCUUAAAGACCCAAAUGUUGUAGCUUUUAGUGAUGAUGGGUUUUGAACUAGCAACCUUCCAGUGUUUCAGUUUUAAUAAAUCAUCUAUAGCACUCUUUUCUCUUUUCGCUCUCAGGGGAAGAAUAUUGAAUGAGCACGCUUUUGAGUCCUUAAAUGACCUUCUCUUGUGUGGAGAGGUCUUUUCACUAUAAACGAUAAUAAAAAAUUAAAAAAAAAAAAAAAACACUUUUAGUAAAGUAUGUGGGAAUUGAGUGUAAUGGAAUUAAAGUAAUGUUGCUGAUAAAGAAUUCGAUGAGAGGAUGUGUUAAGAGGAAACUCCCUCCUCACAUUUAGCCCAUACAUCUCAGGUUCAGGGAAGGCAUUUGAUGCAAUGGACCCUGGUUUUAUUACCUUUUUUUUAAAGGACAAAGGAUGACGGGACAAAACACUGGAUGUAUUACUUAUGCAGACUUUGAGUGUACUGAUGGACGUCUGGUGCAGCAAUGACCCAGAGUAUAUCAUGGAGUCAUUGAAUGCAUCAUUAAAUGAAUCUUUGCUUCAAUAUUUUUGAUUUUUUAUCAUUUAUACUGAUAAAAGGGUUCCAGCGUAUAGCCGUAUUACAUAACUAGCUAAAUAUGUUAUGGGACAAUUGAGAAGUUUCUCUUGGCAGCAUGUCCAGCUAACCUUAGUUAGAUUUUCAUUUAUUCCCUUCAGGAGUGAUGUGAAUAAUUUUAUCUCUAGUAGCCUGAAACUCUAGUCGAAAUGAUUAUUACUGAAAUUGCUAGGACAGAGAAAUCUUCGACGGAGCAGACAGAAGUAGGAGGAAAGAAGUCUGUCAAGAAAUCCAAAAAUUCAGCUUGAAUGGUGCCAAGUCUAUUGCACAUGUCUUAAAUGUAAUGUGCUUGAUGCACAAAGCAAAAUUGUUUAUCCUUUGUUU